UAAAAAUGAAGCAAAAUUUUGCACUCAGUUUCGACCUGACAUUAGAAUAUUAUCCAUUUUUAU
rnacentral:tRNA from 1 species